GGUUAAGCGACUAAGCGUACACGGUGGAUGCCCUGGCAGUCAGAGGCGAUGAAGGACGUGCUAAUCUGCGAUAAGCGUCGGUAAGGUGAUAUGAACCGUUAUAACCGGCGAUUUCCGAAUGGGGAAACCCAGUGUGAUUCGUCACACUAUCAUUAACUGAAUCCAUAGGUUAAUGAGGCGAACCGGGGGAACUGAAACAUCUAAGUACCCCGAGGAAAAGAAAUCAACCGAGAUUCCCCCAGUAGCGGCGAGCGAACGGGGAGCAGCCCAGAGCCUGAAUCAGUGUGUGUGUUAGUGGAAGCGUCUGGAAAGGCGUGCGAUACAGGGUGACAGCCCCGUACACAAAAAUGCACAUACUGUGAGCUCGAUGAGUAGGGCGGGACACGUGGUAUCCUGUCUGAAUAUGGGGGGACCAUCCUCCAAGGCUAAAUACUCCUGACUGACCGAUAGUGAACCAGUACCGUGAGGGAAAGGCGAAAAGAACCCCGGCGAGGGGAGUGAAAAAGAACCUGAAACCGUGUACGUACAAGCAGUGGGAGCACGCUUAGGCGUGUGACUGCGUACCUUUUGUAUAAUGGGUCAGCGACUUAUAUUCUGUAGCAAGGUUAACCGAAUAGGGGAGCCGAAGGGAAACCGAGUCUUAACUGGGCGUUAAGUUGCAGGGUAUAGACCCGAAACCCGGUGAUCUAGCCAUGGGCAGGUUGAAGGUUGGGUAACACUAACUGGAGGACCGAACCGACUAAUGUUGAAAAAUUAGCGGAUGACUUGUGGCUGGGGGUGAAAGGCCAAUCAAACCGGGAGAUAGCUGGUUCUCCCCGAAAGCUAUUUAGGUAGCGCCUCGUGAAUUCAUCUCCGGGGGUAGAGCACUGUUUCGGCAAGGGGGUCAUCCCGACUUACCAACCCGAUGCAAACUGCGAAUACCGGAGAAUGUUAUCACGGGAGACACACGGCGGGUGCUAACGUCCGUCGUGAAGAGGGAAACAACCCAGACCGCCAGCUAAGGUCCCAAAGUCAUGGUUAAGUGGGAAACGAUGUGGGAAGGCCCAGACAGCCAGGAUGUUGGCUUAGAAGCAGCCAUCAUUUAAAGAAAGCGUAAUAGCUCACUGGUCGAGUCGGCCUGCGCGGAAGAUGUAACGGGGCUAAACCAUGCACCGAAGCUGCGGCAGCGACGCUUAUGCGUUGUUGGGUAGGGGAGCGUUCUGUAAGCCUGUGAAGGUGUGCUGUGAGGUAUGCUGGAGGUAUCAGAAGUGCGAAUGCUGACAUAAGUAACGAUAAAGCGGGUGAAAAGCCCGCUCGCCGGAAGACCAAGGGUUCCUGUCCAACGUUAAUCGGGGCAGGGUGAGUCGACCCCUAAGGCGAGGCCGAAAGGCGUAGUCGAUGGGAAACAGGUUAAUAUUCCUGUACUUGGUGUUACUGCGAAGGGGGGACGGAGAAGGCUAUGUUGGCCGGGCGACGGUUGUCCCGGUUUAAGCGUGUAGGCUGGUUUUCCAGGCAAAUCCGGAAAAUCAAGGCCGAGGCGUGAUGACGAGGCACUACGGUGCUGAAGCAACAAAUGCCCUGCUUCCAGGAAAAGCCUCUAAGCAUCAGGUAACAUCAAAUCGUACCCCAAACCGACACAGGUGGUCAGGUAGAGAAUACCAAGGCGCUUGAGAGAACUCGGGUGAAGGAACUAGGCAAAAUGGUGCCGUAACUUCGGGAGAAGGCACGCUGAUACGUAGGUGAAGCGACUUGCUCGUGGAGCUGAAAUCAGUCGAAGAUACCAGCUGGCUGCAACUGUUUAUUAAAAACACAGCACUGUGCAAACACGAAAGUGGACGUAUACGGUGUGACGCCUGCCCGGUGCCGGAAGGUUAAUUGAUGGGGUUAGCGCAAGCGAAGCUCUUGAUCGAAGCCCCGGUAAACGGCGGCCGUAACUAUAACGGUCCUAAGGUAGCGAAAUUCCUUGUCGGGUAAGUUCCGACCUGCACGAAUGGCGUAAUGAUGGCCAGGCUGUCUCCACCCGAGACUCAGUGAAAUUGAACUCGCUGUGAAGAUGCAGUGUACCCGCGGCAAGACGGAAAGACCCCGUGAACCUUUACUAUAGCUUGACACUGAACAUUGAGCCUUGAUGUGUAGGAUAGGUGGGAGGCUUUGAAGUGUGGACGCCAGUCUGCAUGGAGCCGACCUUGAAAUACCACCCUUUAAUGUUUGAUGUUCUAACGUGGACCCGUGAUCCGGGUUGCGGACAGUGUCUGGUGGGUAGUUUGACUGGGGCGGUCUCCUCCUAAAGAGUAACGGAG
rnacentral:rRNA from 1 species